UUCGCACAAUUGGUCAUCGCGCUU
rnacentral:ncRNA from 2 species